ACGACAUUGUGCUAAUAGCUAAAAGUCAAAGAAAAAUUGUAGAAGUAUAUAGCCAAAUAGAGCAUUCAACUGGCGCAAUAGGCCUAAAAAUAAAUAAAAUAAAUAUCGAAAAAACAAAAUAUAUGGUAAAAACCAAAUAUCCACGAAUUGUUCCUGAUUUAAUCAUUGUGGAUAAAACUUUCGAAGCCGUCAAAGAAUUUAAAUAUCUCGGUGUAAAUAUAACACAAGAUGGUGAUACCACUGCAGCCAUUACUGAUAGAAUUCCGGCUGCAGGCAGGGCUUUCUAUGCACAUAAUAAGCUGCUCAAAUCUAAGCUCAUAACAAAAGCAACGAAGAUGAAAAUAUAUUUAACGCUUAUUAGACCUGUUUUAACAUACGGAUGCGAAACGUGGACCCUAAAGGCAAACGAAAACCAAAAUUUACUCAUUUUUGAACGAAAGGUGCUGAGAAAAAUAUACGGUCCAAUACGCAAUGAAGAUGGUUCGUACAGAAUCAGAUACAACCAUGAACUAGAGGAGCUUAUUGGUGGAAAGAACGUUGUUCGAUAUGUAAAGGCACAAAGAAUUAGAUGGCUGGGCCACAUUUUGCGAAUGCCAGAAGAAAGAGCAGUGUAUAAGAUUUAUGCGAGAAACCCUGUAGGCACUAGAAGACGUGGUAGGCCAAGAAAAAGAUGGAAAGAGGCAGUAGAAGAAGAUUUAAGGGUCUUAAGAGUCAACAAUUAUACUCUGGUUGCGCAAAACCGUGAAGAAUGGAGAGGCAUCGUGGAGCAAGCUCAGGUUCAUCAUGGACUGUAAUGCUGCGGAAGAAGAAGAAGAAUGCAAAAUAAUGCUUUUUUUCUCUUUUCCUAUUCUCAUUCUUUUAUGUUAUUGAUGUAGAUUGUGAUACACCUAGGAGAAUUGGAGUACCCACACCAGGUGUGCUUUUGGUAUGGGCCCACUAAAAUCCGGCCAAGCCCAGGCGCGUCUGAACCAAAACACGGUUCACUGGUCUGCGUUUGAUAGAGGGACUGCAAUAGAAAAAACCUUGCAGGGUUAAUAGCCAUAUAUCUCAUAACUAAAUAUGACACCGGUGUGGAAGAGUUGGCUAGAGAAAGAUUGGAUUCUUAAAACCAUCUGAAACUCUAAAAGGAGAAAAUCCAAAUGUUCACCAGAAAUGGAAUCGGCGCUAAAAGUGAAUAGCACUAAUAUAGAAAAAUCUCCGCGAAAAAAAAGUUCUGAGCUUAAAAAGGGCGAGUACUAUUAAAAGUUGCUUCUUUCUAUGUUGUUCUCUGAUUAUUGCAAAGACAUAAAUAAAAUAUAUGAAAUAGAAUAUUUUCAGCACAUAGGAAUAAAAGUUGAUCUUAGAAGUAAUGGGUCCAUCCCACGAUGCAAAAGAUGCCAGAAGUCUGGACAAACACAAAGAUUUUGCCAAAUAUGGGUUAAAUGUGCUAAAUAUAGUUAUAUGCAUAUGCAUAUGACAGCAGAAUAUAACAUGAAAGAUACUUUUGAGGCCAAGUGUGCAAACUAAAAUGAGGUACACCCUGCUAGUUAACUAGGCUGCUUAGUGGUUCAGGAGUGACCUGACCGGGGUUUGAACCCGAGACCCUUCGUUUAAAGGGCUGGUGCCAUAACCACUGCACCAAUGGUCAGAUAAAAAAAAAAAAUGGUACUACUCACUCACAAAUGGCUUCCAAAAGUGCAAAAUAUUAUAUGCAUAAAAGACCUUAGAAAGACAUAAAGACUAAAGAGGUUGAUAAUGCAAAAAUCUAAAGAGAUUGACAAUAGCAUAAUGCAAAAUAUGUAAAACAUGCUACGAAGAAUUAACGAGAUCUAAAUGAGAUUAACUACUAUGCAGAACAGAUAACGUAUAUCUAGUAACCCCGAAACGAUUUCUAAAAAAUGUAGAAAGCACGAAUUGGAGAUUUUGCCCCAAAAUAUUAAAUUAUGUCGGUUGUCGGAAAUAUACGUGAAAAAGGAUUCGCAUGUGCUCGGUUAUAGAUGCUACAGGAUGUAACAUAAAAAAGGAUAUUUUUAAGGAUCUCCUACAUGCGGUUGGAAAUAGAUUGUUACUGGAAAGUGACUACAAUGCCAAACAUGUGAAUUGAGGGUCUACAUUAACCUUAACUAGAGGUAAAAAAAUUAUGAAAAGCUAUUUGGGAAUUGGAAUGUUCCUAUUGUUUACUGACAGUCCGACUUAUUGAUGUACUAAUGACAACAAAGUCCCGGAUCUUAUUGACUUUUUUAUACCUUCGGUACAUUUUUUGAACUUGGAAGAUGAUAUUAAUUUGAUAAUAGCUAACAAACAGAGCUGGCCCACUUAAGUCAACAAAGCCACAAAUUGCAAAGCCGUCUGGAAAAAUAGAAGAUUAUCUAAAUUCAAACCUGUAUCAAGUAAUGAUCCUAAGACUACAUAUAACUGAUUUAAUGGAAGGGCUAGACGUAAAUGACAAGAGUCGUGCCACCCAGACGAUUAAACGCUUUUAAAUAAACUUUCUCAAACAUCCAAAAGAAAAAUGAGAAUUAUAUAAAGGGCUUAUCAACAAAUAAAGAAACGAAUUAUUUGUUGUGGAAAGCACGAGGAGUACUAAAAAACCGUAAAGUGAAUUCUCCCACUGAUGAAAACAGAUAGAUCAUGGGAAGAAGGCAAUAGGGAUUAAGCUGAAUUAUUUGCUGAUCACUUGGAAUGAAUUCUUUGGAACGUUUUUUAGUAGAAAAUAUUGUUAUGGGUGAAAGCACUAUAACUCUAUUUACACAAAAAGACAUUUGAAUUGCAAGGCAUUGGCAUUAUUGAAAAAAAUUAUAAAUGAAGCGAUGAACAUGAAAUAUGUUAUUAUAUGAGAUGAGUCACAUAGACUCAUUUUGCUGUUACCAAUGAUAUUAAAACUUUUUGACAAAUUGUUGUUAUGCAAGGCUGAUGCCGGCAAUUCUCCUCACGCUUAGGGAAAUUACUGCUUAUCUGCCUCAAGGCAGUAUUCUGGGUCUUAUAUUAUACGUGCUUUAUACAAGCGAUUUGCCAGAUUGAGAGGAUGUAACUGUGGCUACAUUUCUCGAUGAUACAGCAAUAUUGGCAGUAGGAUCUAAUGUUGACAAAGAAAAAAAAAUAGACAUAACGUAUAAAUCAAAAAUAAAGCUAAAUGGAAAAAAAUCUGUACAUUAGUAAACCCGCCACAAUUGAAUUUGAAUGGUACUAUAGAGCAUCAAACCAAAAAUACCUAAGAGCGAAAUACCUAAUAAUGACUUUGAAUGUCAAUUCCAGAUGGAAAGAACAUGUAAAGAAGAAAAGAGUUGAAAUAUAAAGUAAAUAUAGAGAGAACUAUUGUCUCCUAGCUCGUAGAUCUUGAUUGGAAACAUAAAACAAGGUGUUCAAAUAAUCAAAUGAUAAAGCGAAUAGCUAUGUGGACGUACGGUUUGCUUAGAGGUAUGCCAAAAAAACCCCUACAUCCAAAAAUACAAACUUUCCAGAACAAAUUCCUUCGAAAUAUUGUGACUGCUCCCUGGUAUUGUGUGCAAUUUCGAGAUUUAUAUUUCAUAGGGAUGUGGGUAUCGCCCAAGUGAGUGAGAAAUUAAGGAACAUUGCCAUGAAACAUAGAGGCUUUGGGAACAUUUUUAAUUUAAAAAAAUAUGUAGAGUCCAUAGAGCCAAAAAUAUUGAUCAAUUUCCUUCACGCAAAUAAAUUUCAACGCACUUCCAUUUAAACUCCAUAUAAAUUUGGAAUUUAUUUUGGAUUUGCUCUCUGAGCUUGAUGGCCUGUAAAUAUAUAUGUAUGGCAUUAUGGAAGUUUACUGAAUUACAGAGUAAAAUUUUUGAAUAGGAAAUAGAAUUUAAAAAGAAAUUAAAGAAAAAAGCAAAAAAUUAAUAAUUAUAAUCUAGAUGGCUUUUAAAACUAUACUAAAUAAAAUGAGAUUCGUAAAGAAUACUCAAAAUUUCAUAAAAAUAUAAAAAAAUAUUUCAAUCGCCAUACAUCGAAAAUAUUAAGAAUUGUUUUUGUAUUUUUUCCGAUUCAAAUUUCCGAAAAUAUUUUCAAAUUGGAGGCCUGAUAGAUAUAUAUGGCUUUAAUAAAGAAAUAACUACGGUAGGUUGGUCACCUACCUAGUAAAACUAAAUGACGUCAGAAACUGGUUCAUGGUUAUAUACAUACGUAUCAUGCUGGUGCCCUAUGCUCCUCCUAGGAGCGAAUAAGGAUAAAAAAAAAUAUUAAAAAGGCGCUACAUCAAAUAUUUUACACCAACUCUGCAUUGUUAAAGCAAAUAUCAAACCGAAAAAUUUUCUCCAACAUUGUUUCGAUACGUCGAGCAUCAAAGUACGUUAAAAUAUCACCAUAUCUCCACGGAAUAAAUACUGAAAAUACAAAUCAUAUUGCUACACCUUAUAAACAAAUAGAAUAUUAAAAUUACUACAAAUAGUCAAUACUUUAAUAGGAACAAUCACUUUUUAACAGUAAAUCCUUUUCGAACAAAGAUCCAAAGAAUUCAACAAAAUUAUUCAAAAUAUAAUUAUUCAAAACAGAGACAUUUAAAUUAAAUGCUUUCAGUAACAUAUAAAACGUUGAAGGCGAAGGAUGUGCUUGUUGUU